GACGAACGCUGGCGGCGUGCCUAAUACAUGCAAGUUGAGCGCUGAAGGUUGGUACUUGUACCGACUGGAUGAGCAGCGAACGGGUGAGUAACGCGUGGGGAAUCUGCCUUUGAGCGGGGGACAACAUUUGGAAACGAAUGCUAAUACCGCAUAAAAACUUUAAACACAAGUUUUAAGUUUGAAAGAUGCAAUUGCAUCACUCAAAGAUGAUCCCGCGUUGUAUUAGCUAGUUGGUGAGGUAAAGGCUCACCAAGGCGAUGAUACAUAGCCGACCUGAGAGGGUGAUCGGCCACAUUGGGACUGAGACACGGCCCAAACCCCUACGGGAGGCAGCAGUAGGGAAUCUUCGGCAAUGGACGAAAGUCUGACCGAGCAACGCCGCGUGAGUGAAGAAGGUUUUCGGAUCGUAAAACUCUGUUGGUAGAGAAGAACGUUGGUGAGAGUGGAAAGCUCAUCAAGUGACGGUAACUACCCAGAAAGGGACGGCUAACUACGUG
rnacentral:rRNA from 1 species